AACGAACGCUGGCGGCAUGCCUAACACAUGCAAGUCGAACGAGACCUUCGGGUCUAUUGGCGCACGGGUGCGUAACGCGUGGGAACCUGCCCUUAGGUUCGGAAUAACUCCCCGAAAGGGGUGCUAAUACCGGAUAAUGUCUUCGGACCAAAGAUUUAUCGCCUUUGGAUGGGCCCGCGUUGGAUUAGCUAGUUGGUAGGGUAAAAGCCUACCAAGGCGACGAUCCAUAGCUUGUCUGAGAGGAUGAUCAGCCACACUGGGACUGAGACACGGCCCAGACUCCUACGGGAGGCAGCAGUGGGGAAUAUUGGACAACGGGCGAAAGCAUGAUCCAGCUAUGCCGCGUGAGUGAUGAAGGCAGUAGGGUUGUAAAGCUCUUUUAACCGGGAUGAUAAUGACAGUACCGGGAGAAUAAGCCCCGGCUAACUCCGUG
rnacentral:rRNA from 1 species